CCCGAUUUUAGGGACCGCCCACCAUGCAGGCUAGAUUUCAGGCUGCAGCAAAUAGCUUGAGAAUUGGUUGUACUUUAUCAGAUCAUAUCCAGAUGACAAAAUCCAUAACAGGGCGUCACCAUGGCAACAUGAUGAUUUCACUACAAUUUGUUUAUACGAACACAGUAUCGCGUAUCGGUGGAGUCGCUUCCAAAACAUUUGUUGCCGAGUUGCCAGAUAACGAAAGGAGGGGGUGAGGAGUUUCCGAAGUACAACACUUGUUUGCAUAGGAUUGUAGUAAAAUCACCAUACUGUCUUCUUUUCUUAUUUUUAUACAAUGGAUAAUAUCAGUGCCCAAAUUAGAUGGUUCAACUUAAAAUGUGCAAGUUAGUACAUUUUUUUCUUCUUUUGAAAUAUUAAUUGCAAGGUUUAAUUUCUAUAGGUGAAAUUUCCUACAAAUUAUCCUUUCAAAAAUUUACAGAAUUCAAAAAGUUCCAAAUCAAAAUUUCCUUUCUGUCAAACUGCAAAGGUUUGUGUGUUCCUUUCCAAUUUGAGCUCUGAUAUCCAUAAAUCCGAACAAAUUUUGCUACCAGUUGGAUAGGCAUAGAAGAUGGUCAGGGGACAAUGCAAGUGACACAAAAUUGCCCUAUUAUGACCUAUGAAUACUAGAUUGCCAUUGAAAAAGAUUUUUAUUUGUAGGGUAGGGUAACACCCUUCCCUAUAUGGGUUGGGCCUUGGUGGGGGGGGGGGCACCCCUGUCCAUAUCUUUUAUGCCUAUGCAAAUAUCAAUUGAAUUCAAAGCAUUUGUUGCAGCAACGAGUUUCUAUAAAAGCUUUUAAUUGUGUCGUUUUUGACAGCCGAAAUGAAAAGCCAAAGCAUUUUUCCUCGCUUCAAGGUCUGGGCGUAGGCAAAAAAAUGUUUGCUUGAGUCCGGAAAAAAAUCAUGGAAAGUGAAAGAAUUUGAAGAAAAUUCUUUCGUUUGAAGAAAAAAACUUUGAAAGUAACUCGUUCUUGCAAAACACCGAAAAGUGCGCGCGUUUUUGUGGCAAUUCUUGUUGUUUAAUACGCCAUUUAAUUCCCACGUGUAUAUUCGUUUACGUCAUUAAUUUGCACGUGUCUACUCGCUUACGUCAUUAAUUCCCAUAGGACCGGCAAGUACCGCCAACUGGCUUUCGGAAGCCAUUCAGGUGCUUCAAAAAAGUUGCAAAAAAUUUACCAAACUCGUAAACAAGUGACGUCAGACUGGCUUUUCUCCGCUUUUUCACUCGAAAUUCACCAAAAAAUUUUCAAAACUUUUUGUUUUAACUUUUUUUUUCAAGAUAGCGAAGUAAACGAACAAAUAUUGCCACAAAAAUGCCGAAAGUAGACCGCUAGACCACCGGCGCCGCGCAAACUGAGACUUCAAAGCUUCAUGAAUGUUUUGAAGUCAAAAUUUGAACCGAAAACGUGCAAUGAAAACACAUAAAAAAUGAUUAAAAGCGUACCUUUUUGUAGCCUCGGUCGACUGGAACACUGGAACGGCUUCGAGUUGAUGCUGAUUGCUUUGUUCUAAAUGAAAAAGACCUAAAUUAACUCGAGAUAAAUGGCUUAAUUGUAACACUAGUCCGCUAAUUUCUUACUCAAACGGCGAAAAAUUUCAACUGAAUUGCUUUUAAAUCAUUUCCAAACCUUUUUCGUAUCACAAAGGAAACUAUAAAGUCUAUAAAGGACUAAACUUUCAAGCCUGAAGUCAGCAAAUGAGCGAGCGAAGCCAUGUUGCGGCUUGCCCAACGCCUUCGAACGGG
rnacentral:lncRNA from 1 species